GACGUAGGGCGCGAGCGUUGUCCGGAUUUAUUGGGCGUAAAGAGCUCGUAGGCGGCUUGUCGCGUCGACUGUGAAAACCCGGGGCUUAACUUCGGGCUGGCAGUCGAUACGGGCGGGCUGGAGUUCGGUAGGGGACCACGGAAUUCCUGGUGGAGCGGUGAAAUGCGUAGAUAUCGGAAGGAACACCGGUGGCGAAAGCGGCGCGCUGGACCUCUUCUGACGCUGAGGCGCGAAAGCCAGGGGAGCGAACGGG
rnacentral:rRNA from 1 species